CUAAAAUGUACUAGAACUGGUCGUGGGAAAGACAAAACAACAACUGUUGGACAAUCUGAACUUCUUAAUGUUUUAAAAAAAGUUGUAAAGGAGUGUAGCAGUGGUAGUUCUGUAGAAUUUACCGAUUCAAAUUAUGAAAAUAUUGUGGCUGAGUGGUUAAGAUACGCAAGUAUCAGAUUAGCUAGG